UGGGGAAUAUUGGACAAUGGGCGAAAGCCUGAUCCAGCCAUGCCGCGUGUGUGAAGAAGGUCUUCGGAUUGUAAAGCACUUUAAGUUGGGAGGAAGGGUUGUAGAUUAAUACUCUGCAAUUUUGACGUUACCGACAGAAUAAGCACCGGCUAACUCUGUGCCAGCAGCCGCGGUAAUACAGAGGGUGCAAGCGUUAAUCGGAAUUACUGGGCGUAAAGCGCGCGUAGGUGGUUAGUUAAGUUGGAUGUGAAAUCCCCGGGCUCAACCUGGGAACUGCAUUCAAAACUGACUGACUAGAGUAUGGUAGAGGGUGGUGGAAUUUCCUGUGUAGCGGUGAAAUGCGUAGAUAUAGGAAGGAACACCAGUGGCGAAGGCGACCACCUGGACUGAUACUGACACUGAGGUGCGAAAGCGUGGGAAGCAAACA
rnacentral:rRNA from 1 species